rnacentral:rRNA from 1 species
GACGAACGCUGGCGGCGUGCUCAACACAUGCAAGUCGAGCGGUAAGGCCCUUUCGGGGGUACGACGAGCGGCGAACGGGUGAGUAACACGUGGGUGACCUGCCUUUAGCUCCGGGAUAAGCCUGGGAAACUGGGUCUAAUACCGGAUAUGACCCUAUGGCGCAUGUUGUGGGGUGGAAAGCCUUGUGCGGCUAGGGAGUGGGCCCGCGGCCUAUCAGCUUGUUGGUGGGGUGAUGGCCUACCAAGGCGACGACGGGUAGCCGGCCUGAGAGGGCGACCGGCCACACUGGGACUGAGACACGGCCCAGACUCCUACGGGAGGCAGCAGUGGGGAAUCUUGCGCAAUGGGCGAAAGCCUGACGCAGCGACGCCGCGUGAGGGAUGAC